rnacentral:lncRNA from 1 species
UGGUUAAGUGGAUGUUUUUUAUUAUUUCACAGAAGCAAAAUGAAGACAUCACGUUCUAAGUGCUUUUUCAACUGAACUUCGAACUAAAGAGUCUCAAUUUCUGCAGAUCUGUGGCCCAAGCCAUUUACUAUGGCACGUAUUACAGUUGCUCCUGUCAUUCUGAUGGUAACUUUUUUCCAGCAUAAGAUACUAUUUUCCACUAGCCUGGAAAGUGGACAACCAGAUGUAGUGGAUGGUCUUGGAGCACAUAAUGUUCUGUGGAUUACCAAGCAUGGGUCAAGAGUUAUCUUAUCCUGGAACAAUAACCUGACAAAAGAAGAAACUAAGAAGUAUACUGUGAAGUAUAUUUUGAGUUAUAAAUUCUUCAAUACAACUCAUGAAAAGAAAUAUAUAUUCAGAAUUUUUCAUGCAUCAUAUAUAAUAUAUCUUUCUUCAAUUGCACCUGGCUUAUUAAAGCAGAAGCUCCUGAAGAUAUUCAGAUAUUUUUUUCAUACAGACACGUAGGAAAAGAUUUUGAAUGCCAGCAAUAUAUAAAAAAUGCAAGGA